rnacentral:rRNA from 1 species
UACGUAGGGCGCAAGCGUUGUCCGGAAUUAUUGGGCGUAAAGAGCUCGUAGGCGGCCUGUCGCGUCCGCUGUGAAAUCCCGGGGCUUAACCCCGGGCGUGCAGUGGAUACGGGCUGGCUAGAGGCAGGCAGGGGAGAACGGAAUUCCCGGUGUAGCGGUGAAAUGCGCAGAUAUCGGGAGGAACACCUGUGGCGAAGGCGGCCAGCUGGGCCGGACCUGACGCUGAGGAGCGAAAGCGUGGGGAGCGAACAGG